ACAUUAUAAUUCUAUACUUAGGAGAGGGGACUACGUUUAUCUUGUUCUGGUCCUCGGUUUCACUGUACGGGUUUCUGCCUAAAACUUACGGAUAACAAAAAAAGAAUUAUAAACAAUAUGAUAGAAAUGUACAUAUUUGAUGCAAGACUUGGAUGUUUUUGGAGUUUA
rnacentral:sRNA from 1 species